GNNANUUAUUCGGNNUUACUGGGCGUAAAGCGUGCGUAGGCGGCUGAUUAAGUCGGAUGUGAAAUCCCUGAGCUUAACUUAGGAAUUGCAUUCGAUACUGGUCAGCUAGAGUAUGGGAGAGGAUGGUAGAAUUCCAGGUGUAGCGGUGAAAUGCGUAGAGAUCUGGAGGAAUACCGAUGGCGAAGGCAGCCAUCUGGCCUAAUACUGACGCUGAGGUACGAAAGCAUGGGGAGCAAACAGGAUUAGAUACCCUGGUAGUCCAUGCCGUAAACGAUGUCUACUAGCCGUUGGGGCCUUUGAGGCUUUAGUGGCGCAGCUAACGCGAUAAGUAGACCGCCUGGGGAGUACGGUCGCAAGACUAAAACUCAA
rnacentral:rRNA from 1 species